GGGGCUGUAGCUCAGUUGGUAGAGCGCUUGCAUGGCAUGCAAGAGGUCCGGAGUUCAAUUCUCCGUAGCUCCACAA
rnacentral:tRNA from 1 species